GUCCCUGUAGCGCAAUGGAUAGCGCGUUGGACUUCUAAUCCAAAGAACGGGGAUCCCACCUGAGAUG